GAGACUCCGAGAGCCGCUCUCCCAGGCUCCCCGCUGCAGCGGCGGGGCUGCCGGGGGCGGCACACUCCAACGCCAGCCAGAGAGCUAGCGCCGCUUGAGGCCAGCCGGGGACGAGGCGCUUUACACUGCCUGAUGGGUACUAGCAGCCCACCCCAGCCAGAUGGAGGACAAGGCCUCUCCAAGUCUCAAGGAAAUGCACAAUCCUUCCUUACCUCUGGCCUCAGAAAUCUCAGCAUCUCAUUGAUUAGCAACCUCGUCUGUGGCAAAUCUAAGGAACACCUUCUACUUAAAAUUGAAGUCUUCUGGGCUGGGUGUGGUGGCUCACUCCUGUAAUCCCAGCACUUUGGGAGGCCAAGGCGUGCGGAUCACGAAGUCAGGAGUUCGAGACCAGCCUGGCCAACAUAGUGAAACCCUGUCUCUACUAAAAAUACAAAAAUGAGCCGAGUGUGGUGGCACGUGCCUGUAGUCCCAGCUACUCGGGAGGCUGAGGCCUCUGAGCCCAAGCUAAGCCAGCAUAUCCCCUGCGACCUGCACAUACACAUCCAGAUGGCCGGUUCCUGCCUUAACUGAUGACAUUCCACCACAAAAGAAGUGAAAAUGGCCUGUUCCUGCCUUAACUGAUGACAUUGCCUUGUGAAAUUCCUUCUCCUGGCCCAUCCUGGCUCAAAAGCUCCCCCCACUGAGUACCUUGUGACCCCCACCCUGCCCACCAGAGAACAACCCCCUUUGA
rnacentral:antisense_RNA from 1 species